GUCGACUGUGCUGAACUGGAAAGGAAGAAAUGUUAUUUUUUCCAGGAUGAAAGCAAAACAAGAUCUCUCCCUGUUUAUCCUGUCUCACCCUUUUCUAAAGAAGGUUUUGGAGCCUCGAAAAGCAGCAGGAAAGAGAUGGGUCCUUUCUGCAUGUCAGGCCUGCCUCUGCAGCACAGGCUGUGGGUCUGCCCUCACAGUCCCCUGGCAGAGGAGGCUAUGUCUGAGUAAAGUCUGAUGCAAGAACAUCAUCUUCCCUUGAAAGGUGCCUACCUUCCAAGCCCAGUGGUUUGGUGUGCAGAAAUGCUGAGCUCCCAGUCUCAGCUGAGACAGGCAGAGAGAUGCUUCAGUGAUUCACACCCUCAUGUCCUACAUGUCCUGAAUGGCAGAAUGGAUGGGUCUGUAUGCCCUUUUCCACUUGCAUUAUCCCAGCAAAUGAAAAAUUUAAAAAAGGAAGGAAAAGAAGAUGGAAGAGAGGCAAAAUGUGUGACAGACUCAAAUCCUCUGCCUCACUCUACUGCCUGUGUGUUCUCCAUGGUAUCCAGUGCUUAAUGCUUGCUGCUUACUCCAUUAUGUUCUCUCACCCACCUACUGACACAUUUCCAUUGAUCGCCCACGUAGCUUUAAGCAUUUCUACCCCCCUGCACUGAAAGCUUUUGCAAGGCAGCUGAGGUACCAACCACUGUAAUAGGUCAUGUGGUGGGAAGAAGCAGGUUUUGGGCCAUGCACAUCCCUCUGCAUCAGCUCUGGGGUCUGAAAGACCCCUCACAGUCACCUAGCUGGGCAGAGGUCCCUGCUCCUGGGACAGAGGGGUGACUGCUGUUAUGGGGCUUUGGCUGAGAGAGGCACAGGCUGCUUGGCUGCUGCAUGAUGUGGCUUCUACACUUCUGCCUUGGCAAUGCACCUGUGGUAGGAAGCAUGGCAGAAAAGCCAGAAAGAAACCACUAUACUGGGAAUGUGCUGUUCAGUAGUACAAACAGCCGUGAGGAGAAGAGAGGACAAAGAACAGCCCUUGAAGUCUCAUCCUGACUUGGUUGUAGGCAGCCUUGCUGCUGCCUUCAGAAAUAUUUUUACAGUCCAAAAUGACUAGAGAGUAUUGUGUUGGAUUUAUCAUAAUAACAUAACAGCAUGUGCCAAAACAGUAUGUCUAGCCCUGGAAACAGAAACAAUCUAGCUUUUAAUCAACAAAGAAGUUGGAGAAUAGUAUACAAAUGUUAAGUACUACUGACUUCUUUUCAGAUGCAUCUUAUGAAUAAAACUGAAUGCUGAUUCACUUGGGUUCCUGGAAAACCUUAUCUCUAAAUUGUAAUGUCAAAUUAAUAUAGUAAAGAAUUUAUAAGUUGUGUUUCUCAGAGGUUGUUUAACAGCUUGAUCCCUUGCCAGCAGUGCUUUGUCAUUCACUACUUCCCACUGGCAUUAUCUUAAAACUAAUACCAACAGCCAGUUGUUCCGGAGAGCUUAACUGAAAUGUGCAAUACUGGGAGACACAGCCAACACACCAGCUCCCACUUCAUGUGCAUUUAUAAUUACACAAGAAGUGGUGCUUAUUGUACAGUCAGCUCUGGUGCUCUCUGAGAUGACUCACCUUCUCUCACUCUGCUAUGCCAUGCUAACUUUUACACAUUUCGUCUAUCUACAUGGAUAUCCAGACUCAUCCUCUCCAACUCUGAGCUUUUUGGCUGGGAUCCUUAAAUUACAGCCUGUCUUUGCUUUAGGCUCUUCCUACAGUCAGAGAAGGGAGACAUGAACCUCACGAAGGCGGUUCUGCUCCUUGGUGGGCUGAAUCAUUGCCGGAAGGCUGCACCCCCUCCCUGUUGCUCCAUUGACUGGGGAAGGAGCCCCAGGCAGGGCUGGCAAGCCUACUGUGUUCCUGCCCCAACCAGCCCUCCCUGCUGCUGCUGGGGGGCUGA